AAAAAUAAUUAAAUAUUAUUUAAAUCUAAUUAAAGACUGAUUAAAGACUGAUUAUUAUUGUACAACUAGCAUUUCCCAUAAAAUACAUAAGUUAAUGAAAAGGGUUACAAUAUAUGUAUAGAAGUAACUAAUAACAUAUCAUGCGCACACCAAAACAGAACCACGACCCAGCUAACCCAGUUUCUUCGAUCACGCCACUCCUAAUCAAUUUCUUCUUUUUUCCGCACAGUGCCUCUUCUCAAUUUCUUCUGUUCUCAGCGCAUCGCCUCUUUUUAGUGUCGUUCAUCUCCUGUUUUUAUCGCUGCUGUCUCUUCUUUUCUCAGUAUGCUUCACUCUCCUCUUCUAAUCAAAGCCACAACUAAAAAGUCAAAUGCUCUAAAAUAAACCACCAACACUCAGCCCAGAUUUGUCUUUCCUCUCUAGUUGCCACUACAGCAACCUUUCGCCAGCGCAGUUCAGAUUUGGACCUAAGAGGCCCAAAAAAUUCCACAAUCCUCCAUGAUUGCUGCUUUGGUCACACUCCAAAGGCGCCUCCUUGCCGCAAAAUCAGAGCUCGCCAUCCCAAUCUCUAUCACUUAUGUGACUCGCCAUCACUCUUAAGCAUAUCAUUAAGAAAGGCCAGCAAUCUCCAAUUGGUGAACCACAAAGAAUGAACUUCCUAUGUCGAUAAUGGGGACAACUAAAAAACAUAAAUAUAACCCAUCAACUUCCUUACUCCUGAGUUGGUCCUUCAAUAUUAACUUGACGGGCAAGUCUCUUUUAUGUAAUCAAAGUUAGUUCAUUUUUCAUUUUAAACAAACUUAACUUUCUCCAAAUACAACACUCAAUUUGCUAAAACCAUAAAACUAAGGAUUUGGUGUUAUUUCUCAUAUGUGGAACUGAACAAAAAAUACUAGAAAUAUAGAUGUCUC